ACUCAAAGGAAUUGACGGGGGCCCGCACAAGCGGUGGAGCAUGUGGUUCAAUUCGACGCAACGCGAAGAACCUUACCCAGGCUUGAACUGCGAGUGACAUCCGGCGAAAGUCGGCUUCCGCAAGGACGCUCGUAGAGGUGCUGCAUGGCUGUCGUCAGCUCGUGUCGUGAGAUGUUGGGUUAAGUCCCGCAACGAGCGCAACCCUCGUUCUCUGUUGCCAUCAGGUUAUGCUGGGCACUCUGAGGAGACUGCCGGUGACAAACCGGAGGAAGGUGGGGAUGACGUCAAGUCAGCAUGGCCUUUAUGUCUGGGGCUACACACGUGCUACAAUGGCCGGUACAAACCGCUGCGAUCCCGCGAGGGGGAGCUAAUCGGAGAAAGCCGGUCUCAGUUCGGAUUGCAGGCUGCAACCCGCCUGCAUGAAGUUGGAAUCGCUAGUAAUCGCAGAUCAGCAGGCUGCGGUGAAUACGUUCCCGGGCCUUGUACACACCGCCCGU
rnacentral:rRNA from 1 species